AUUGAACGCUGGCGGCAGGCUUAACACAUGCAAGUCGAACGAGUGGCGGACGGGUGAGUAAUGCUUGGGAAUCUAGCUUAUGGAGGGGGAUAACUACGGGGAACUGUAGCUAAUACCGCGUACCAUAGGAUGAGCCCAAGUGGGAUUAGGUAGUUGGUGAGGGAAAGGAUCACCAAGCCGACGAUCUCUAGCUGGUCUGAGAGGAUGACCAGCCACACUGUGAGUGAGACACGGCCCAGACUCCUACGGGAGGAAGCAGUGGGGAAUAUUGCGCAAUGGGGGCAACCCUGACGCAGCCAUGCCGCGUGUCUGAGGAAGGCCUUCGGGUUGUAAAGGACUUUUGUCAGGGAAGCGGUACCUGAAGAAUAGGCACCGGCUAACUUCGUGCCAGGCGCCGCGGUAAUAC
rnacentral:rRNA from 1 species